rnacentral:rRNA from 1 species
UACGAAGGGUGCUAGCGUUGUUCGGAAUUACUGGGCGUAAAGCGCGCGUAGGCGGGCUGUCAAGUCAGGGGUGAAAUCCCACAGCUUAACUGUGGAACUGCCUUUGAAACUGUCAGCCUGGAGUGUGUGAGGGGAUAGCGGAAUUGCUAAUGUAGAGGUGAAAUUCGUAGAUAUUAGCAGGAACACCGGUGGCGAAGGCGGCUAUCUGGCACACAACUGACGCUGAGGCGCGAAAGCGUGGGGAUCAAACAGG